UAUGACUUUGAAAGAGAAAUGAAAGCUGGAUAACACAUUUAACUUUAUUUCAGUUUUCUGAAUGGCCAGCUGUGCUUCUCCUCAGUAGAUCCUGUCUGUUCCAAUACCUAACUGCUAACGCACAUGGCAAAGCAAGGAGAAACCAUUGAGAUAUCUUGUGUUCCCUGUAAAAAAGUGUAUUAAAUAACAUACUCCUAAUUCACACACUUUAGAGACCACCCAGAUAUUUCCAGAGCUGUCAUAUACCUACAACUGUUAUUUUUGCAGUGUAUAUUCAAACGCAUUAACACUGAGUAAAACUAGAUUGUAAUUGUUGAAGGCCACACACCAGAUUGCAUUGAAUUCUUCUGUUCAGUAAUUUAAAGGAUUCCAGUCUGACUAAACAUCCUUUUUUUCAGUGUUUUGCCCAUGAUUAGUGCCUCAGUGUGGUUCUACUAUGAUUUAAUUUAUUGUAAGCAGUGUCAUUUUAUCAGUAGCAUGCCACAUGUGUUGCCUGCGCAGUUCCUUAAAACCUAAUUAACCUUCAAUAUUGCAUGGGUUAGUUAGUGUUGAAGGCUCGAGUGCUGGGGUUGUUUUAGCUUGUGUUUCCUUUUAACACCGACCUUUUCAAAUUCCCUCCUAGAUAAUGGGAUACGGCUUUUAAAUGGAAGAUAUAGCUUUCAAAAUGAUUUAAGGUAAUAAGAGAUAAAACAACAGAGGAGCUGAAAAAACUGAUAGUGUCUCAGAGUUAAAAGGAAAACAACUAUCAGUGCCCCUAGCGAUUGUAUAAUUUGGAGACAUUUGAAAAAGACAGGUCUUUAGAGGAGGAAAACAUGCCCUAAACUGAACACCACUGCUUUGGAGUUGUGAAUUUCAGCUGGCAUGAAGCAUGAAGGGUGCAGAUAAACUGCAUCUGAUGUAAAGCUUCACUGUAUAAAGUUAAACCAGCAGAAAAUUUGAGCAGGAGGAAUGAGCUCAGGCUGGACCAAAACUCUGCUUUGUGUGGCCAUGGCAGCUUCGGUCCCAUGUUACCAACCUGAAUAGGAGGAAUAGGCUUAUACUGGGGGAAGAACAGUUCUGAUUGCAAAGGAAAGGUGGGGUGUGCACUGCUCUAAUUUGUUGUGCUCUGGCCACAUCAGCUGCUGGAUUCAAACAACUCAGAAAGACCCACAAGUCCUACAGUGUUGUCUGAGCUCUGCCCCUUCAAAAAUGUCUGGAGGACCCAAUCCAAGGUGAUGAUGGAUGUUUACCAGCUGUGGGAGUCAUCACUGGGAACUGCUGCUGCUCUGAAGAGGGAAAAUUCAUUAAAGUUGCUCUUGCGAAGUUGAACAGAGUUUGCUGCUUUGCCUGGAUAUAUUGAAACACAAAUAAUCCACAUUUCAGCUCCAUUUUAGUAGGUACCCAAAGUCUUUCUUGACAUUCUCCAUUUUGUGCAACCACCUGGAUCAGGUGGGAGUGAAGUUGCCCUGUGCAUAUUUAUGUUACGUUGGCCCAAGUGCCCCAGACAGAUGCUUGGAAGAUCUCCAGAUACAAAGCCUCAGAAGUUCCUAACCAGAACCCUGAGGGAACUCUUUUUGAGAAAACAGUGAACAGUCAGACCCAAAUCCCAAGAAGACUGUUAUCCCCUCUGGAGGCAAGCCAAAGAAAAUGUUCACACCAGCAUAAACCCAGGGAUUUGGUGUUAUUCUGCUGGCAGUGUAGUCGGUUGCCUGGCUGGAAAACCAGAUGAAGGAGCGCUGCAUCUUUGUCUUCUCAUGCAACUUUUGUUUCCAGAAUUGUGGUGAUAGGAGGAGCAUCUUCAAAAUCUCUGCCGAAACCAAUGACUAUAUAGGCAGAAAUGAAACACAGCUGUGCCUAGUAAACAUUAUCUAAUAACA